CCUACGGGUGGCAGCAGUGGGGAAUAUUGCACAAUGGGGGAAACCCUGAUGCAGCAACGCCGCGUGAGUGAGGAAGUAUUUCGGUAUGUAAAGCUCUAUCAGCAGGGAAUAGAACAGAAGGUACCUGACUAAGAAGCCCCGGCUAACUACGUGCCAGCAGCCGCGGUAAUACGUAGGGGGCAAGCGUUAUCCGGAUUUACUGGGUGUAAAGGGAGCGUAGACGGCGGUGCAAGCCAGAUGUGAAAGCCCGGGGCUCAACCCCGGGACUGCAUUUGGAACUGGGCUGCUAGAGUGUCGGAGAGGCAGGCGGAAUUCCUAGUGUAGCGGUGAAAUGCGUAGAUAUUAGGAGGAACACCAGUGGCGAAGGCGGCCUGCUGGACGAUGACUGACGUUGAGGCUCGAAAGCGUGGGGAGCAAACAGGAUUAGAUACCCUAGUAGUC
rnacentral:rRNA from 1 species